CGGUCAUUAUUAUUUAGUCAUGUUAUUUAAGAUUACGAAAAAUAUAUAAUUAAUUAAUUUAAUUUUAAAUAAUAUUAUAAAAAAUUUCAACAUCUUUUUUAGAAAAAAAAAGAGAGAAUAUAGGUUAGAAAGAGAGAGCAUAAUUUAAAAAAUAGGAAGAGAAAUAGAGUCGAGAUUAGAGAGAAUAAGAGGGUUGAGAUUUUAGAAAAAGAGGAGGAGAAAUAACUUAAUUUAGAGAGAGAAAAAAAGUUGAAGUUAGAGAGAAAAAGAUAAGUUUAGAGAGAAAUAUGAGGUUAGAGUGUAAAAAAAUAAAUAAUAUCAACUAGCCGGCGGGUGCCAAAAAAAAAAAAAAAGAUUAGAUAUAUUAUCAUUACUCCAAUCCAUUAAUAUAAGGAUACCUACUCUCCCUCAAAGGAAUGAGAUUAGUACUUUAGAAUGCAUCUCAUUACAAAGUAAAUCCAGUAUUACCAACUAGAUUACUUAGUGCGUUUAGCCAAACACCGUCAUAUUUUUUUAUUCCUAUUGGAUUACUAGCAAUCUUAAAACGAUAGCGCGAACCAAACGCACCCUUAGGUCUAAAUGCCAUUACGCU
rnacentral:lncRNA from 1 species